GGUGAAUUCACCAAUUUGUAAGUCGCUCUGGAUAAGAGCGUCUGCCAAAUGACUUAAAUGUUAAAUGUUAGCCCCAACUCUAUCAGCAGUGGAAGCUAGUGUCAAAUCACCCUCCCCAUGAUCAUCCCCCCAGCACAGCCUGUUUAAGAGUGGAGCAGGAGGAGCUGAAGGAGCAGGGAUGACUUCCUGUCCUGCGGACACUGAGCUGGAUCCAGAGGGGACUCACCAGAGUACAGCCUGGAGCUGAGAAGGGAGGUGCAGGACGAGAGGCUGACGCAGACUGCACUAGCACUGCAUCGCUCUGGCUAAGGAAGACGCCAGGGUUGAGGAAUCUGUGGGAGGCAGAGGAGAGAUGGAGGGAGGAGCAAGGCAAAGGGCCAGAGAGUGACCUUAACCCGUCUCCAGUGUCUGAGAUAACGGUGGCCUCCACCACCUCUGUGGUCAUCACCAAACAGUCGCCUGCCUGCAGCGGCUAAGAGGAAAUAGACUACCCAGAUCACCCUGGGUUUUGGGAGAGAUAGGACUGUAAGACCUGUUUGCUUGUGCCAGAUUAAAAACAGACAUUUUCAGAUCAUGGUCUAUCAAAUCAUAAGUCCUCUACGUUAACAUGCAUUUCACACAA